rnacentral:rRNA from 1 species
CCUACGGGGGGCAGCAGUGGGGAAUAUUGGGCAAUGGGCGCAAGCCUGACCCAGCAACGCCGCGUGAAGGAAGAAGGCUUUCGGGUUGUAAACUUCUUUUCUGAGGGACGAAGAAAGUGACGGUACCUCAGGAAUAAGCCACGGCGAACUACGUGCCAGCAGCCGCGGUAAUACGUAGGUGGCAAGCGUUAUCAGGAUUUAUUGGGUGAAAAGGGCGUGUAGGCGGGAAAGCAAGUAAGAUGUGAAAACUCAGGGCUCAACCCUGGGCCUGCAUUUGAAACUGUUUUUCUUGAGUGCUGGAGAGGCAAUCGGAAUGCCGUGUGUAGCGGUGAAAUGCGUAGAGAUACGGAGGAACACCAGUGGCGAAGGCGGAUUGCUGGACAGUAACUGACGCUGAGGCGCGAAAGCGUGGGGAGCAAACAGGAUUAGAUACCCGGGUAGUC